CGGCAAACGGGUGCGGAACACGUACGCAACCUCCCCGGAACAGGUGAAUAGCCUUGCGAAAGUAAGAUUAAUACACCGUACCAUAUAGAGCUGGCAUCAGCCUUAUAUUAUAGGUAGCAAUACCGGUUCCGGAUGGGCGUGCGCCUGAUUAGGUAGUUGGUGCGGGUAACGGUUCACCAAGCCUUCGAUCAGUAACUGGUGUGAGAGCACGACCAGUCACACGGGCACUGAGACACGGGCCCGACUCCUACGGGAGGCAGCAGUAAGGAAUAUUGGUCAAUGGACGGAAGUCUGAACCAGCCAUGCCGCGUGGAGGAUGACGGCCCUCUGGGUUGUAAACUCCUUUUAUCUGGGACGAAAAACGGACUUUUUAGUUCACUUGACGGUACCAGAGGAAUAAGCACCGGCUAACUCCGUGCCAGCAGCCGCGGUAAUACGGAGGGUGCAAGCGUUAUCCGGAUUUACUGGGUUUAAAGGGUGCGUAGGUGGGCGGAUAAGUCAGUGGUGAAAUCUUCAAGCUUAACUUGGAAACUGCCAUUGAUACUAUUUGUCUUGAAUAUCCCGGAGGUAAGCGGAAUAUGUCAUGUAGCGGUGAAAUGCUUAGAUAUGACAUAGAACACCCAUUGCGAAGGCAGCUUACUACAG
rnacentral:rRNA from 1 species